GCUGGAUGAGCUGUGGUCAGGGGCUGGGCCUGAGGAGGCGACGGAGGAUGCCGGAAAUGGGUAGAAGAUACUAGGUCUCACUUUGUUACCCUGGCUGGUCUUGAAUCCCUGGGCUUAAAAGAUCCUCCUGCCUCAACCUCCGUCAAGUGCUGGGAUUACAGGCAUGAGCCACCAUCCCUGUCCAUGUUAAAGAUUUAGAGGAGCACUGUGACUUGACCAAGAACACAGAAGUUUCACAACCUCCUUGGACCCUCACUGCCACCCAGAUGUCUGUGAUCAUCAGUCAUCUCUUGACCUCAAUUCCCUUCCUCUUCUCCCUUCCCCUAACAUAAAAAGAGUCUAAAAUUUGUAUUAACUUAAGACAGUUCUUUAGGACACGAGUCCACCAUCUUCUCAGUUUGUUGGCUUUCCCAAUAAAAGUUGCUUUCCUUGCCCCA
rnacentral:lncRNA from 1 species